rnacentral:rRNA from 1 species
UACAGAGGGUGCGAGCGUUAAUCGGAAUUACUGGGCGUAAAGCGUGCGUAGACGGUCAAGUAAGUCGGGUGUGAAAGCCCCGGGCUCAACCUGGGAACUGCAUCUGUGACUGCAUAGCUAGAGUACGGUAGAGGGGGAUGGAAUUCCGCGUGUAGCAGUGAAAUGCGUAGAUAUGCGGAGGAACACCGAUGGCGAAGGCAAUCCCCUGGACCUGUACUGACGCUCAUGCACGAAAGCGUGGGGAGCAAACAGG